rnacentral:rRNA from 1 species
AAUUAACGCUGGCGGCGUGCUUAAGACAUGCAAGUCGUACGAGAAAGUUCUCUUCGGGGAAUUAGUAAAGUGGCGCACGGGUGAGUAAUACUUAGGUAACGUACCCACUCGCUGGGGAUAACGAGGCGAAAGCUUCGCUAAUACCGAAUGACCCGCGAAGGACUGCGGUCCUUUUCGGGAAAGCCGAAAGGCGCGAGUGGAGCGGCCUGAGCCCCAUUAGCUAGUUGGUAAGGUAACGGCUUACCAAGGCUGUGAUGGGUAGCUGUUCUGAGAGGAUGAUCAGCCACACUGGCACUGGAAUACGGGCCAGACUCCUACGGGAGGCAG